GCCCCCGAUUGGCAUUGACUAUUUGACUGACUGAUAGCCGCCGGAAGUCUCUGCCCGCAAAAUUUCGAUAAAAUUACCGCCACGUCACCAUCUUUUUACUCUCUCCGAGUGCACUCGGUGGUCCCUUGUCGGCCACCGAGUUCGAUAUCCGACUCGGCCACCGAACUGCAACUCCCCGCGUUUACUCCCGAAGGUGAAACGCCGCCGUUUCGUUUUUCCCGGCUUAGAAUUCUCCUAAACGACAACAUCCGACUCAUCGGCGACCUAAACGACUGACCUGCCGGCGAUUCGCCGAGUCCCGAGUCCUCCCCCCUCCCGAAACUCUCGUUCCUUCUCGGAACCACGAUGUUCGACGGCUUUCUCCACGCCCCUGACGACGUCGUCUCGGAAUUGCAACACUCCGAGCACAAAUCGGAGCUCGGGCCCGGUUCGCCUCCGUCAGGUUCGCAGACACUAAGAACCACGUCGGGCUGGGUUUCAGACUCCGGGCUCGGUUCCACG
rnacentral:lncRNA from 1 species